AAUAUAGCUGACCACAUCUGUGUUUAUUACUGUUCUUUGUUUAAUGCAACUGUAUUGGACAAUUCACGAUAUUUAUAGCAGCCAAUAAAAUUUCUGUAUUUUUUGUAGGGACCAAUAGCAUUCCACCAUUUUUAACCUUGAUAAACUUAAAUAUUCAAGUUUCUAUUUAAUGGUAUACAUAAUAAUAAAUAUUUAUAUCAGGUUUAUUAGUGGUUAUUCAUGAGAAAUAUAUUAAUUAGGGUACUAUAGUUAUAUGUAUGUUUGUUUGAAAUUGGCUUUCAAAUCUAAUAUGUACAUACCGACUUUUCAGGCCUCGGGGCGUGUAACGGGAAUCGUCAGAACUAAGUUGAAAAUCACAGAAGUGUUCGUUAGUUUGGGUCCUCCUGCGUCAUUGAAGUGUUCCUCAAAAUCGAGCGGGGUUUCCCAUUGUUCAGUACGUAUUUAUGAUAUGUAUAUAAUGAGAAACUUAAUUUGAUAGUAAAACACACGAAACCGUGUAUUUUCUGAGAUCUAGUAGCAGGAAGGAAUUAUAAAAUAUUGUAAAUGGCUCGCAUGUUCCAAUAUGUACGUCCUGUUGAUGCUGUCCUGACAUCUGUAACUUUGGGCACAAGACCAGAUGGUUGUUAUUUCUGAACCUGAUACCCGGAAGGUUCUACAGUGAAUUUGAUCCAGAAGAGGUCCUGAUCAGUUUCUACUCCUGCUAAUCUUGCAAUCCAGUGGCAUGAAUUCAUUGAAGGUUGAUGUAGCCAAAAGUGGGUCAAUUGGAGCUGGCCCAUUACGUUGGCGAACUCGCCGCACAUAAGAACCGGUGAAGCCAAGCAAAUUGGUACUUUCGUUACAAACGGUCAAUCAAGAUGGCGCUUAUUAACUCGUAAUUUUCACUUUUAGUUGGGUUCAUCGCGACAAACCAAUUCGUACGUUCUGCUCCCUCUUACAACUUUCUAUAUUUGGACGAAACUUUGGGUUAACGAGGACCAUUUUAAAAAGUAUCCCUUUCAGAAUUCACUUUCGAUUGAAAGCACUUUCCUGAUUAACGGGAUGAGAAUCAAAAUACUUAUAAUAAAGAAGUAGAAGGGGAAGGUGUUGUAACUAAUUUAAGAAAGUGCUCGUUGGUACCGUAACGAAUCGCAUUUCCUUCUUUCUUUUCUGCUUUCUUCCGGUCCGUGUUUACCCGGUGAGCCAGCUUUAUCGUAGCUCCGAGUGGAUUCAGAGGACCCCGGCCAUCGUAAAGUCAAUGAGACCUCGACUCCCUUACAUUUUUCAAGGGCCCUGGCUUUCCCAGCUAUAAAUUACUGUCCGCCUUUGAUCGUUCCCUUCCUCCCGUCGCUUUUCCAUCCACUCACUUGCGACAAAUACCUCUUCGUUGAAAGAUUUUCGGGAGAAAAGUCGCGCCUGAGGGUCUGACGAUGCUUUUUGCGCGAGAAAUAAUCAUGUGGACGUUAAUCCUUUGAGAAAAGCGAACUUUUUUCAGAGGUGAUGCGAUAUUGAAUAGUAGAUGGAUGCCUAGACGCUGCGCCACUUUUUAUCAACUGUGAUUUUUCCAGCAUUAUAGCUUCAUCAGAGGUAUAAGAAUAGCCUCGGUGGAAAUACCGACGGCGUAUGGCCGAUAAGAAGAGAACGGGAAAGAAAAGUACGCGCGGAGAGAAAGGGAGAAUCCCUAGGGGGUCGUGUCGAGUCGGACAGUCGACGAUAAAGAGGGUUGGGUGAGCUCAAUCUGAAAAGUUUCUUUACGAUGGUAGGUACGCCGACUCGUAAAAUUCUGUACGAAUCAAGUGUCGAGCGUAUGAAAAGGGCAACGUCGAAAGUGGAAAGAAAAGAAAGCAGGAGCCGAGCAGGCGAGUAGAAGAUGAGAGGGGUAAAGAGGGUGAAACUGUGGGAAGAAGUCACUUUGUGGAAACGUUUCGACGAUAUCGCGAUCGCCGGUAUAGAGAACCGAGAAUAAAAAGAUUCUCUGAAUACGGUAUUUCCGUGGCGAACUUUUCCUCGCUGAAUCAGCCGCGUAACGACCAAAAAUUCUACAAUUAUUUUCGCCACGGAUCCGAGGGUGAGGGAGGAGAACACGGAAGUCGAUCGGAUGUACCGCGAACCAGUGAAACGUUUCAACUAAAAAGUUAUCGUUCUCGUUGGAUCGAGUUCCAGUCACGGAAUACUUCUUGCACGAAACGGCCGUUCGCAAUGGCCUUCUUCACCUUUCUUAACUCGACCGAAAGGGUCUUCGUAACUGACUCGCUGGAAUUCGAAGAAUAUUUCUCGAACCGAGAACUAUCUUCCCUCGUUUUCCGCCAAACUGGCUGAGACAGGACGCUCUCCUGGAAAGAGAGAAAAGGAAAAAUUAGAAUACCGACUGGUGACAGGGAGACACUUUGGUGACGUUGAUUUAUGGAGUCCGAUUCGGUGCCCGGUGUAAUUGUAAAGCGGUUAACACCUUGACUGGCAUAAUGGGAACAACUGACUCUAGUACGUGAAAAUUUCCCUGAAAAUUUUCUACAUUCUACGUAUUUUUAAAUUUCGAAUACGAAAAAUGCAACGCCGAUAUGGAUCUGUGCUAUGCAGCGAUAAAACGCAACGUUUGUCCUGGAAAAAAGAAAAUUACCGUAAAAGAACAAAGUUUGGAUUUUUUUCAAAAAAAUAAAAAAUAAAAAAGAAGGAAUUCACGCGAAAAGCUAAAGUUUACCGAAUCGUAAAUGCCUCUUUUCCCAUUUUGAACGUUGCGAAUGGCUGCGAUACGCGAGCUUCCUGUGUACAGGCGUAUCAGUACGGUAUCGUAUUUCAGCCGAAACUUUGUUUCCUGGCAGACUUGAUUAUGCGCGUCCCCAUUUUUCGCCUAAUUUCCCUCGUUUUAUCCGGCGGCUCGCAAAUCCGGUACGCAGCGUCCACGUAACAUUUGGCGUCCCGUUAACCCGAAUAUCGAUACGAAAUUCGACCGUGUUUUUCAAACGGCUAACAAAAUUCCCUUGUUGUCUGGUAACAAGGAAUUACGUGUCGAUACUCGUCGAUUUCACCGGCAAACCGCUGCGCAUCGUUCGGUUAACAAGCGACACAAUUUCAAUUUCGUUUACCGAUUUUACAUCGACCGGUGAUCAACAGAAAAUACACGUGAAAGUUUUAAUUUGUUACAGGCAACAACUUUAACGGGGAUGAUAGAAAGGAAAACGAUAAACUAUUUAAUUUAGACUGUGUGUUGAACAGUUCUUCGAGCACCGAAUGGCAGGAAAUUAAAACGCAAUCCUUGGAUCUUCAGCCGAAGCUCUGAUUUACGUUCUCCUUAAGUCGAGCAUACCCCGAGGGGAGGUUUUUAACUUUCUUCCUCUCCGCGAUCAUUUCUGUUUCGACGUUAUUGCCUCGUGGAAGGGAAAUAAAUUUUCAUUUCCUUUUCUAGAAUUUCCUCCAUCAACAAAUAGAAUCUUCCAAUUUAUAUUUUCCAAGAAAAUAAUGUGUCAAGCGUAGGCUAUGAAAGUGUAAUUACCAUUUUGGAAUUUUGAAUAAAUCAGCUAUGAAAGCAUAGUAUAAGAUCGUUUCUCGUUGAAAUUAUUCUUGCUAAUGAAUUUUAAUCGGACGCAUGAUAGAGAAAUUCCAGGAAGUAUAAGUAAUCUUCUCCGCGUUGCCUCGUAUUGUUCUUUGCAAUAUACAAGAAAUCACGGCCAGGAAAUUCAUGGGAACUUUUCUUUCGUUUAUUUCAUCGACAUUCACUUUGAUGAUAUACACACUAUAAAACGCGAUUCUCGUUAAUUUUCAAUCGACCGUUUACUUAAAUACGCUUCGUUUCCGUUGAUAAACGGUAAAUACGUGGAAAUAAAUCCUGCCCUCGUCUCUCCUUUUACCUCCCUGUGAAAUACAUUUCAUUUCAUUUCACGAAACGUUUAAUCGGUAUCCACGAAUUCGCAUUGCUGGAUUGUAAAUCAUCAACGAAGACCGUUUACUAUUAAAUCUUGCAUAAUCUGCUGAUUACCCGUGUCAAAGAAGCCCAUAAUUGUGUUUGACGGGUGGAAAACGCUCUCUGAUAAGUGUAACGGGCUCCAGAAAACCGGAAGUAAUUACAAUUAACGACGCGUGUAAUCGAAAUGACCCCGUUGUAAAUUGCGCGUUCAAUUUUCGUUUUACUAAAAGUGAAAUUUCAUUUACUUUUGCAACAGAAUUUUCAUGGGAGUUCACUGAUUAAUGUUACAUCGUCGAGUGGACGGGAUCAGAGUUUCGUUAGGGAUUCAAGGAUGCAACGAUCCUUUUCGAUGGAAAAUCGGUGGAAAAAUGGAAAUUGAAGAGAAGUCUCAGAAUCGUGCCAGUAUCUCAAGAUUAUUGCUUUCAUCCCUCUCGAAGGAUUUUACAGUCGCCAAGCGAACCACUUUUCUACGAUUGUUCGAUCGUUCAAGGAUAUGCUCUGCCACUUGCUGCCCUUUUUUCCUUCCGUUUAUUACCUUCGGUUAUCGAACUUACACUCCUUACUGUCUUUUAUCCAUUUUUUUACUAUUAAUCAAUUUUUCUACAGUAGUAGGUCACGUACCUACGCGUCACAGACCAGGUCCCUAUUCUUUAACAAGUACCAGGAUAUCUUUGAUUCGAUCCACGAUCCGAUCGUGCGUACAAUUUUCCAGAACACAAAGGUCAGAAACGGGCCAAUUAUUUUCACGGUGCAUUUGAAGGUACAUGGAUGCAGAUUUCGAAGACGCGGUGCAACAGAGCGAAUCACGUUUCUGCGAUUCGCUACGAUCCGUCAGAAUUGUUUCCUCUUGCUUAAAAUUCGCAUACCUACAUUCUUCCGGCGAAAAAUUGGAGAACGUUUCAGAGGGGAUACUACGAUGCUGGACUUCUCUGUGGCGUUUAAAAAAUGGUCCAACCUACGUGACUCUACGUUCCGUUGUUUAUUGUAUUUUGAAAAUCGUAAAAUCAACGAGCGGAAAACUACGCGAUUUUCCGAAAGAUUGACUCUACCCAAUAGACUUUUUCAUAAUUUUUCUCGUGGAGAAUGAAGAUAAAACGAAUUCCUUGUUUCAUUAAUUCACAUUUACAUUAAAACCUGAGGAUAUUUUUCAAGAUAAACGUAAGCGAAAAGUGUGGUAACUUGAGAAACGAGGGUAGGAAAUAGGAGUUCAGGUUGGCAACGAGCGAAUAAUACGAUUAGAAGAACGCGAAUUUCCUUCGACGAACGUUUAAGCUGUUCGAUACGGUAGGAGAGCAUCGAGGCAGCUGUAACAGGGUAAUUGAAUAAAAAUAUCGAGCUUCAACGGCGGAAUGCAAAGCGCCCUUAAACUCGCUUCUCGCCCAGGGAGAGGCUAAUCGUCGAAUUACCGUAACGACCGCUCCGAUCUCACGAAUUACGCGCGUGUUUUCGUGUUACCUGUUCGAAAGUGGCCAGAAAAAAAGCGACAGCUAACUUCUAUUUCAAGGAUCGGAACCGUUGUUACCUUGUUAAGCGAAGGGGAAAAAAAAGAGGGAACGACUUUAAUUACCAUCUAUUUUCAGGACUUGGUGUUUGAAUAAAACACCAGGUAUGCGCUACAUGAAUUUAAAGCUUGAAACUUGAUGAAAACGACAAUUAAUUCAGUGAUACGUGAAAACAGUUUUUAGUGUUUUCAAAGUAUCCUGAAAGCUCUUUACGAAUGCAUAAUUUACUUCAUAAAUGUUUCUUAAAGAUCUUUUGAAACCUUCAGUUAAUCCGUUCCUUUCUUACGUUAUUCGAAACGUUUCAUGCGUUGUUAACGUUUAACGAGCACCGAAGUAUGUAAACGAGGGCAACGUGAGGAGAGAGAAAAAAACGAAAAAGAGAAAAAGGUCGCCUGCGUCUUGUAAAGGAAUAUUUCGGAACAAACGAGAGACGCGCCGUUUUAAACGGGGACACGAGAAUCUGCAUAACGAAUUUCUAGGGAAUUAUCAUAAACGUAGCUUUCAGCUACACUUAAUCCUCGCCCGCAUUAACGCGACAGACACUGUGGUUUAAGUUUCUCUUCAUCCGAAUACGUCCUCUGACGAUUUCAAUCCUUCCUAGAUCUACUUUCCUCGGAGACUGUAAUCAAUGCCGUUGAAAGUAAGCUCUGCUUUGAACUUGUGCCCAGCUGACAAGAAAAAAGCGCGAAAAAACGAGCGGGCAACUGAUUCUUUGCCGGAGCAGCAGGCCAUUGACCUAUACUACUGCGGACACCAGCCACGUGGCGCGCAUUCGAUCCGCUUACACUAUUGUUUGCCAACUUGACGAUACUCUGUUUUAUGUUUACAUGCACAGUAAAAUUUAAUGAAACUAAUUGAAUUUAAAAUCGUACGCGACUAACAAAUACCUCAAAUUAUUCAAAAUCUGCUCCGCAACGCAAUUGAAUGUAUUUGAAAUUUGUUGAAAUACUAAUGAAAUACGUGUUGAAUGUUUUAAUUAACGUUUCAACUUUCAUGUCUGAUUUACUUCGUUCCAAAUAUGAAUUUUUUACAAAAAUAAAUCAGAGUUCAUUGUAACAAAUUCUGUUUCCAAAAUUCGUCCGUAUCAAAUUAAACUUAUUUCAUUCGCAGAAAAUUUUCACGUUCGUUGUAUCACGUUUAAUUAAUAUUAUUAAUAUUAAUUUCAUUCGCUUGACGAACGUACACGGCCCUCAAUAUUUUAUACUUACCUCGAGUUGGAACCGUGGUAUGUUUAAAAAUCUUGAAGAAUGUAAUCGAGGAAUAUCUAAAGGAGGAAAUUUCCGUAUCGCAGAAGGGCUACCCAGUCGAGAUCGUCCUGUUUCGUAGCAAAGAACAUCUCGAAUCGAUCCGUUCUGCUUCAGGAAAGAUCUGAAAUCUCAUAAACUAAAAAGACGAUCAGUUUCCGUUCGUAUCUGCCGAGGGAACGACAUUUUUCUGCACAAGAAAUUGAAGGACGACGAAGAGAAAACGAGCAACCGGGUUAAUAGAAAAGCUAUUUUUAUUCUUUAAUCUCAUAUUCAGUCGUGAAAAAUCCUUCGCUACAUCCAAAGUACGUACGACAUGUGCAGAAUCGGAUACAUUACGUUAUACACGUUAAUACAAAUCGUAUUGCUCGAUCGUUCGGAACAUCGUGUGUGUACAUGAGCCUGUGUUACAUGUAUAUUUAUAUAUUUAUAUUACUUAUAUUAUAGGUGUGGACGUGGUGUUGAAUGUCGAUGUGUACACAAUUUGUCUCAAAAAAUAAGAGACCGACUUUUUCAACAAACAGCCAGAAAAUUUCGAUUGAGAUUAUUGAUAAGUUUCGAAUCGAUGUAGAACUAGGUAAAAGUAGAGCGAGAUUCGCUCUAAAGCCAACCCUUGGAGCUAACUGAAAAAAAAAAAAAAAAUUUUUUUUCUUCAGCCAUUCGUUGAGAUUUUGACCCACUAAACACAAUGGCGCAAGAAUUUUUUGACCUGUACAAAAGUGACAGAAAGUCUAAAUUCUUUAGCCCCCUUCUCAAGAUUUCCAAUCAUAGAUACGGGUUGGCUAAUAAGUGGUAUUUCGAGAUACUUUUACUUGAACCUAACGUUUUGAGAAGAACCACCAUACGUCAGAGAGGAACUAGCAAGUGAAAAAUCAUUAAAGAAAUCAAUCUCGUUACUUUUUGGACAAAGCACGCACGUGUGCACAAACGAUACUGAUUGUGUGCGGGUGUAUGUGUGUGUAGGUGGCGGUGCGGAAUCGUAACUAUCUCCGCAGCAAGUUUUACGGUCGAAAGGAGGGUCGAACGAGAUCGAUACGUCUGCCCUCGAUUCUCUACUCCUCUCAGCCCCCUUUUUCUCCGAUUUUUUUUUUCCCUUCCUUUUUCUCGUUCUCCACCCUUCCAACCUAACCCAUUCCCGCUUUUACUCCCUUUUCCAACGAUUAUGAGCCACGAGAAACCCUCGCGUCGGGGUACCGACACGCGCCGACUCGCGCUUUUCCAUCGAGAUUCUUUUUCCACCCUCCUCGACACGCUUCCCCGUUUCUCGCCGCUCUUCAGAACCUCUGGAAUUCCAUUUCGACUCGCAACGGCAAACCUAACGCUCGUUACGUCGUUCGAGCUUAGAAAAAUACUGUUCCUAUUUCAAGGAAAACGGAUAUGAGACUUGAAGAGCUUAAAGUACUCGCUGAGAGGAUAAAAAGGAUCAUCUAGCUGACCAACACCAAAUUGUGUUCUUUUUUUUUUAUCAAACAUCCUCCAUAGAGUGUAUUCUUGGAUCUCGUUCAAUUUAGUUCGUAGACGAUUCUCCCUGCGAGGAAAGAAAAUGAAUUCCUGAAUCGUAAAGGAUUCGAAAAGUGAUUCGUUCAAUCUUUUCGUAGAUGAUUCUCCAUGUUCCGGAUGGAAAGAAAUUUCGUAUGGGAUGGCUCGUUGAUUUUCUUCGCGACAAACUCGAUAUAGAAGUUCUCGCUCGUCGUGUUACCUGGAUCGCAAUCGAUCGGUGAACAAAAAUGCGUCGACUUGUAUUUCAUACAUAUAUUCAUAUUGGCACCGCCAGGUUCUGCGACGCGGCUGCUCGACAAUUUCUCGAAUUUCACAUCGCCAGUUAUUCCGUUUCGUUUCCAAGACAAGGUUACAUUUUUUGCACACCGAUCUAUCAAGAUUCACGUGAUAAAUUUUCGUGUAUAGAGACUGUAAAAUAUUUAAUUUCUUCCGAAAAAUUGAAGCUAGUUGAAAUAGCAUUUAUCUUGAAACGUCUUCUAUAUUGCAAGGAAGAAUGUCUGUUUUACUCAAAGAAGAACACGUCAACAGAGUACCUUGAGUUUGCAAGAAGAAAAAUUAAUGUACCUUGAGAAAACGUGGCUGGAACAAAGAGGAAGUUCUCUUUCAAAGUUGCAUGUCGUUUGUAAAGUGUCUAUUGUAACGCGAUAAUCGUUUUCCUACACGCUUCUUUAUCCGAAUUUACGGAGAGAACGAAGAUUAUUGCAACCGAAUUAACCGCAGUACCGUGGCGGAGUACAACGACGGUUUCGAUAACAGAAAUUUGUAGAAGUAGUUGAACUGGUGACGGUAAACCCAAAGAGAACUACCGUGGCACGAUCUCUGGUACAUUCCAAACACGACCUGUGCCAAUUUCUAAUCCGAAAGCAACCAAAAACGAUGGGGACCGAGGCCUUCGGUUAGCUAAAUUGGAAUAACGAAACCCAUCCUGAUGGAAUUCUACGUUCUCAUUAUUACCAGAGUGCAUUCUAACGCGGCUUGUUUCGCGAUGGCCAAUUAACGAAUUCUAUAUGAACAGCGUGCCCGUUCCUGCAUUAUUUUCCCGAAUUUAAUGCAAAUUUCAAAUGAGCUACGAUGAAUAUUUGAUCGACUAACAGAUAACAAAACAGUUCAGAGAGAAAUUAUUUAGCUGACUAAUAUAUGUAUAGUUGAAAAUAGUUUGCACUCCAAUAAAACAAUUUAUCGUCCAGAAAAUUAUUUCCAACUAAUUUUAUCCCACUAAUGGUCAGAGUAUGUUAUCAUCUGGAAACACAACUAGGACAAAUAUGGAAACUCAUCGAAUCAUCGAUUAAAUUCCAAUUAUUAUUAAUUAUAGUGGUGUCCUUUGACGCAGCUUCGAAUGCAGCUGGUCUUAAUUAGACUGAAAAUAUUCGAGGAAUCGAAAUGAAUUUAAUUUAUUCGUAGAAUGUGUGGUAGAGGAAAUAUGUCUCUAAAGAGGAGGAUUUAAUUUGAAUAGCUUCAUGGUUAAUAAUUCUGGUUAUGCCUCUGUUUCGAAAAGUUGCGAGCGGAAAUCGUAUACGGAAAUAGCUGAGGUACUUAGAUGCGGUGAAGCGACAAUAAUUAACGGAUGGUCGCUGAAACAGGAAACAGUAACCGGAAGGAAACCGAUGAAAUAGAUUUGCUCGCAUAAUUCUUAUUCGAACACUUGAUUAUUUACACCGUGAACGUGUGAAUAACUCUUAUCAUAGCGUAUCAUACUAGAUACGCUUAUUUUACUAUGGAGGUCAACUUGUUAAGCCGUCGUUUAAUUAAAACAAAUCCGACCAUUCAACAGAAGUGUGUCCAAUCAACAGCUCUCAAAAAAAUAUCACUCUAUUCACCGAUUCGAGCAUCGAAACAAACAAUCGAUCGUUUAGUUUGCUCCCGAAACAAUCAACAUCCAACGAAACAAAUUUGAAAACUCGCUUGGAGCAAGAGAGAUAGAUACUCUACUAUAUAAUGAAUAUAAAAAAAUCUCUACGAUACUGUGUAGUUUGGAUCGAAAGACAAAACGUUAUUUGGUAAGCUAGAAGGAUUUUUGAUCCAUCGUUUAUUGUCAAAACGGUGAGUGAGCCGCAUUAGCGUCGAAUAAUUAAAUCGUUUCGCGCCAAUAACCAUCGCUUAUACCCGCUAAUAAUUAUCACGGCCCGUUGCCGCGUUUCAUAACUUGUCGUUAAUUGUCGCGGAACGAAAUAUUCUGUCGAUCCAGCUACGGAAUCCUUUGUCGAGGUUCGAACGCAUUAAACUUCCGACAGCACGGCAGAGAGGACAGUGUGCAUUGUUAAAAAUAAUGAAUCAUCGAGUACCGACGAUUCAUUGCUCACCCAACGAACUUGUGAUAUAUAAUCGGGGUCAAAAACAUUUUGUAAUGCUCUCCUUUGUUUAUUAUACACGACGAUAAAGUAGAAAAUAACGCGAUAAAUACCGUGUAGGAAAUUGUUUCGUCAGGGGAUUAAUUUAUUAAACGAUCGACCGAGGUAAUUAUUUUGUAGAAAAUGCAAUAAUUUGAUUUACUGCUUCCUAAGAUCCAAUUUCGUAAUUUCUCACCUUUGUUAUUUUACCACGAUUGCGAGCAAUCCGUGCUAGACGAAAUGGGUAGGCAGAUCGUAAAACUAAUUCUAGGCGAGGCGUGCCAAAUAAUCUGGACUAUGUCGUAACUCAAACACUGUGAACGCGUAUUUGAGUUACGACGCGUUCGUGGCUGGCCUGAAACGAAUUUUUUCUCCCUUCGAAAAUUUGAUUGCCACCGUGCGAGUAUCACGCAUGAACGCCGGAUGCUCGUCAUUCUGGAUACAGAUUAUACGUUUGAGUUAUCGUCCACCGACUAUCAGAACCAAACGAGUUUCUCCGAUUCUUUGAACAAGCUAUUGUUUGGAAUCUGUGAAAUCCAGGGAAUUACAGCAAGUUUUCCCCUUAAUUUAGGAUUAGGCCGGUAACUUUUAGGCCAUAUUAAUGUACGGCUCCCUUACACCUCUAAUCAGGAAAAUUAAACGAGGCAUCGAUCAUUUCUAUUCGAAAGCCUUGUUUAUGAAAAGGUCUGCACGUGAUUUGCCGUUUCGAGCUCGAAACGAGAAGAAGAAGAACCGAUACGACCCAAAGAUUCCAGUUGCUCCGGUCUGCUCCAAUGGACACGGUUCGAUUCUACUCCAGGCAGACUAUAAAACGAACACUAUUCAUUCGUGAAUCGGUUGGUAAUUGCAAUGGCAGAAAGGGGGCGAGCUGCGUUUACGAUCCGUUUCGACUUGACUGCGUCUUUCAUUCGAACACUGCGACCGCCACUUUGAUUAACUUAAUUAGACCCUAAUGCUAAAUUAACGGCUCUUUCUUUCUCGUCAAGUUGUCGCGAAGGGAAUGAAGUUCCUUUCGAGGU